CAGGUCUUGACAUCCUUUGACCACUCUAGAGAUAGAGCUUCCCCUUCGGGGGCAAAGUGACAGGUGGUGCAUGGUUGUCGUCAGCUCGUGUCGUGAGAUGUUGGGUUAAGUCCCGCAACGAGCGCAACCCUUAUUGUUAGUUGCCAUCAUUUAGUUGGGCACUCUAGCGAGACUGCCGGUGACAAACCGGAGGAAGGUGGGGAUGACGUCAAAUCAUCAUGCCCCUUAUGACCUGGGCUACACACGUGCUACAAUGGGAAGUACAACGAGUUGCGAAGUCGCGAGGCUAAGCUAAUCUCUUAAAGCUUCUCUCAGUUCGGAUUGUAGGCUGCAACUCGCCUACAUGAAGCCGGAAUCGCUAGUAAUCGCGGAUCAGCACGCCGCGGUGAAUACGUUCCC
rnacentral:rRNA from 1 species